UGGGGCAACCCAAUGUAUAGAGAUAUACAUUACCUAUAUAGGAGCGAACGAGGGGAAUUGAAACAUCUUAGUACCCUCAGGAAAAGAAAUCAAUAGAGAUUGCGUCAGUAGCGGCGAGCGAAAGCGCAAGAGGGCAAACCCAGUGCUUGCACUGGGGGUUGUAGGACUGCAAUGUGCAAGAGGUAAGUUUAGCAGAACAUUCUGGAAAGUAUAACCAUAGAGGGUGAUAGUCCCGUAUGCGAAAAACAAACCUUAGCUAGCAGUAUCCUGAGUAGGGCGGGACACGAGGAAUCCUGUCUGAAUCCGGGUCGACCACGAUCCAACCCUAAAUACUAAUACCAGAUCGAUAGUGCACAAGUACCGUGAGGGAAAGGUGAAAAGAACUGAGGUGAUCAGAGUGAAAUAGAACCUGAAACCAUUUGCUUACAAUCAUUCAGAGCCCUAUGUAGCAAUACAGGGUGAUGGACUGCCUUUUGCAUAAUGAGCCUGCGAGUUGUGGUGUCUGGCAAGGUUAAGCAAACGCGAAGCCGUAGCGAAAGCGAGUCUGAAUAGGGCGCUUAGUCAGAUGCUGCAGACCCGAAACGAAGUGAUCUAUCCAUGAGCAAGUUGAAGCUAGUGUAAGAACUAGUGGAGGACUGAACCCAUAGGCGUUGAAAAGCCCCGGGAUGACUUGUGGAUAGGGGUGAAAGGCCAAUCAAACUUCGUGAUAGCUGGUUCUCUCCGAAAUAUAUUUAGGUAUAGCGUUGUGUCGUAAUAUAAGGGGGUAGAGCACUGAAUGGGCUAGGGCAUACACCAAUGUACCAAACCCUAUCAAACUCCGAAUACCUUAUAUGUAAUCACAGCAGUCAGGCGGCGAGUGAUAAAAUCCGUCGUCAAGAGGGAAACAACCCAGACUACCAGCUAAGGUCCCUAAAUCUUACUUAAGUGGAAAACGAUGUGAAGUUACUUAAACAACCAGGAGGUUGGCUUAGAAGCAGCCAUCCUUUAAAGAAAGCGUAAUAGCUCACUGGUCUAGUGAUUUUGCGCGGAAAAUAUAACGGGGCUAAAGUAAGUACCGAAGCUGUAGACUUGCACACAACUUAGAUUAUUUAAGUUUAGAAUAUGAGAAACUAAGUUAUAUGUUUAGUUAUAUUUUUACUGAUUUUUAUAGAGUAAAGAUAGAAAUAAAACUUAGUAAAAUCAGUAAAAAUAUUCUUAGACUAAAGUUAAGUAGUUUAAGUUGUGUGCAAGUGGUAGGAGAGCGUUCUAUUUGCGUCGAAGGUAUACCGGUAAGGAGUGCUGGAGCGAAUAGAAGUGAGCAUGCAGGCAUGAGUAGCGAUAAUUAAUGUGAGAAUCAUUAACGCCGUAAACCCAAGGUUUCCUACGCGAUGCUCGUCAUCGUAGGGUUAGUCGGGUCCUAAGUCGAGUCCGAAAGGGGUAGACGAUGGCAAAUUGGUUAAUAUUCCAAUACCAACAUUAGUGUGCGAUGGAAGGACGCUUAGGGCUAAGGGGGCUAGCGGAUGGAAGUGCUAGUCUAAGGUCGUAGGAGGUUAUACAGGCAAAUCCGUAUAACAAUACUCCGAGAACUGAAAGGCUUUUUGAAGUCUUCGGAUGGAUAGAAGAACCCCUGAUGCCGUCGAGCCAAGAAAAGUUUCUAAGUUUAGCUAAUGUUGCCCGUACCGUAAACCGACACAGGUGGGUGGGAUGAGUAUUCUAAGGCGCGUGGAAGAACUCUCUUUAAGGAACUCUGCAAAAUAGCACCGUAUCUUCGGUAUAAGGUGUGGUUAGCUUUGUAUUAGGAUUUACUCCGAAAGCAAGGAAACUUACAACAAAGAGUCCCUCCCGACUGUUUACCAAAAACACAGCACUCUGCUAACUCGUAAGAGGAUGUAUAGGGUGUGACGCCUGCCCGGUGCUCGAAGGUUAAUUGAUGGGGUUAGCAUUAGCGAAGCUCUUGAUCGAAGCCCGAGUAAACGGCGGCCGUAACUAUAACGGUCCUAAGGUAGCGAAAUUCCUUGUCGGUUAAAUACCGACCUGCAUGAAUGGCGUAACGAGAUGGGAGCUGUCUCAAAGAGGGAUCCAGUGAAAUUGUAGUGGAGGUGAAAAUUCCUCCUACCCGCGGCAAGACGGAAAGACCCCGUGGACCUUUACUACAGCUUGACACUGCUACUUGGAUAAGAAUGUGCAGGAUAGGUGGGAGGCUUUGAGUAUAUGACGCCAGUUGUAUAUGAGCCAUUGUUGAGAUACCACUCUUUCUUAUUUGGGUAGCUAACCAGCUUGAGUUAUCCUCAAGUGGGACAAUGUCUGGUGGGUAGUUUGACUGGGGCGGUCGCCUCCCAAAUAAUAACGGAGGCUUACAAAGGUUGGCUCAGAACGGUUGGAAAUCGUUCGUAGAGUAUAAAGGUAUAAGCCAGCUUAACUGCAAGACAUACAAGUCAAGCAGAGACGAAAGUCGGUCUUAGUGAUCCGGUGGUUCUGUGUGGAAGGGCCAUCGCUCAAAGGAUAAAAGGUACCCCGGGGAUAACAGGCUGAUCUCCCCCAAGAGCUCACAUCGACGGGGAGGUUUGGCACCUCGAUGUCGGCUCAUCGCAUCCUGGGGCUGGAGCAGGUCCCAAGGGUAUGGCUGUUCGCCAUUUAAAGCGGUACGCGAGCUGGGUUCAGAACGUCGUGAGACAGUUCGGUCCCUAUCUGCCGUGGGCGUAAGAAGAUUGAAGAGAUUUGACCCUAGUACGAGAGGACCGGGUUGAACAAACCACUGGUGUAGCUGUUGUUCUGCCAAGAGCAUCGCAGCGUAGCUAAGUUUGGAAAGGAUAAACGCUGAAAGCAUCUAAGCGUGAAGCCAACUCUAAGAUGAAUCUUCUCUAAGCUCUCUAGAAGACUACUAGUUUGAUAGGCUGGGUGUGUAAUGGAUGAAAGUCCUUUAGCUGACCAGUACUAAUAGAGCGUUUGGCUUAUCUUUAAUAAAGCAU
rnacentral:rRNA from 1 species